rnacentral:misc_RNA from 1 species
UCCUGGUUUCCCAGGCAGUCCCAUCAGAGUGCCUUCUUACGAAGUAGCAACUGACAGUAGGGGUUGCGCUCGUUAUAGGACUUAACCCAACAUCUCACGACACGAGCUGACGACAGCCAUGCAGCACCUGUGUAUAUGUCUUAGGUUUCCCUAAGAAAACCCCAUCUCUGAGGCGGUCAUAUACAUGUCAAACCUAGGUAAGGUUCCUCGCGUAGUGUCGAAUUAAACCACAUGUUCCACCGCUUGUGCGGACCCCCGUCAAUUCCUUUGAGUUUUAAUCUUGCGACCGUAGUCCCCAGGCGGAUCACUUAACGCGUUAGCUACGACACUAAUUCUGCAGAGCAGAACUAACGUCUAGUGAUCAUCGUUUACAGCGUGGACUAC